UCGUUUAAAAAAGUAACUGAUUACUAGAAAUCCAGUGUUUAAAGUGAAGACCUUUGGAACUGUCAUAACAACUUUUCUGAGUACAGAUCCUGGAAUCCUAGAUUUGGAAACCCAGACUAAUGCCGAAACAGCUUUUGUUACUGAAAAUCUCUAAUGAAGGACACUCUAAAGCUUCCCUAGGCCACUUGUCCCACUGAUCAACUGUUCGGAGAGUCAGUAAAUGAAGUGUGCCAGAGGAACGUAAAGAGAACCUAAGAAUCCCAGCUCCAGAAGGGGAGGAUUAACGCCAUGUAGACAUUUCAGAAGACACUCACUAGGCUGACCUCAGAGGACCUCUUCACAAACCUUGGUUUACUGGAUGUGCUGAGAGACUGGAAGCUCAAGCUUCAGAUUUCCAACUGUUCAUCUGAGGAAAAAGAGUCUUUUAUCACACACACUGGACAACUGUCUAGGCAAAUGAAAUCAGAUGCUUGAAACUGAAGAUGGAGAAUAGAGAAUACCAACUCUUUUCCCAGAGUGUGAC